rnacentral:rRNA from 1 species
UACGGGGGGGGGCAAGCGUUGUUCGGAAUUACUGGGCGUAAAGGGCGCGUAGGCGGCCUGCUAAGUCGAACGUGAAAUCCCUGGGCUCAACCCAGGAACUGCGUCCGAUACUGGUUGGCUUGAAUCCGGGAGAGGGAUGUGGAAUUCCAGGUGUAGCGGUGAAAUGCGUAGAUAUCUGGAGGAACACCGGUGGCGAAGGCGACAUCCUGGACCGGCAUUGACGCUGAGGCGCGAAAGCCAGGGGAGCAAACGGG